rnacentral:rRNA from 1 species
AUGACUACCUUGGAUAUGACCAAAAAUAUUGCAUAUAUGCAUAUUUGUCAGGUGAUUUCUAGUGCAAACUAUUCAAUAAUCUAUUUAUGUUAUCCAGAACAAAAAUACUUCACACACUUUUGUGUUUUGCCUAAUUGCAGGUGUAUGGGACAUUUGUACAAUCCACAUAUGAAGAUAAGGAAGAAAGAGAUGUUUAUUUGCUGUCCAGAAAGUUCUCUCGCGUCACUUUUGGCCCAAGAGAAGAUAGAGUCCAAGUCUCUCACGUUCUGGAUUCAGAUUCGGACUGCACAGACACACCUGACUCAAAACGCACACAAGUUUUUCAUACGGACUCCGAAUUGGGUGAUUCGUUUUUUGUUGGAAACUAGAUUUCGUGCACUUUCCAACCCAAUUGGAAUGACCUUCAAAUUCGUCCGGAGCGUUGAGUUGUGGACGAAACAAACUGAUGCUGCAGCAGAAUCUGAGUCAAACUACAAGUCCAAAGGUGUUACAUCACCUCCACUUGGGCCCAUUGGCCUUGUACGACCUAGAUUUAGUUUUAGGCUGCCUUGGGACGUCCUCCCACCUCCUUGGCCGCCACCCCUUGCUCCUAUAUAA